CCUACGGGUGGCAGCAGUGAGGAAUAUUGGUCAAUGGGCGAGAGCCUGAACCAGCCAAGUCGCGUGAGGGAGUACUGCCCUAUGGGUCGUAAACCUCGUUUGUCGGGGAGCAAAAGCCGGACGUGUCCGGCUGUUAGAGUACCCGAAGAAAAUGCAUCGGCUAACUCCGUGCAAGCAGCCGCGGUAAUACGGAGGAUGCGAGCGUUAGCGGGAUUUAUUGGGUUUAAGGGGGGGGCAGGUGGAUAUUAAGUCAGGCGUCAAAUUCGUGGGGCUAACCCCCACCCGGCCGUUGAAACUGGGGAUCUAGAGUGUGCGAGAGGUAUGCGGAAUGCGUGGUGUAGCGGUGAAAUGCAUAGAUAUCACGCAGAACCCCGAUUGCGAAGGCAGCAUACCGGUGCACAACUGACGCUCAGGCACGAAAGCGUGGGUAUCGAACAGGAUUAGAUACCCGUGUAGUC
rnacentral:rRNA from 1 species